rnacentral:rRNA from 1 species
UACGGAGGGUGCGAGCGUUGUCCGGAAUCACUGGGCGUAAAGGGCGCGUAGGCGGCGCGGGUAGUCAUCGGUGAAAGUUCAGGGCUCAACUCUGAAUCGGCCGGUGAUACUCCCGUGCUCGAGCACUGUAGAGGCAGGUGGAAUUCCGGGUGUAGCGGUGGAAUGCGUAGAGAUCCGGAAGAACACCGGUGGCGAAGGCGGCCUGCUGGGCAGUAGCUGACGCUGAUGCGCGACAGCCAGGGGAGCAAACGGG